rnacentral:lncRNA from 1 species
UAGACGUUCAACUUUGUGACUUCACCUUAGUCUCGGAGGGCCACAACUUCAUUUACAUGAGAACUCGAAGAUUUUUAGUGUUCUGCCUACUCUGCCAGUUCUUGGAACAUUUGCGGAACUGAGAAUUUACUUCUUCGUUUAUUACUUCCUAACUACAUUUUAAAGACUCAUUUGUUCUAGAUUCAGAUCAUUCAACAAAACAUGGCAUGAUUUCCACACUCUGACAUUCUGAUUGCAUUGCUUGGGAAGAUUCUCAGUCUGGGAAUCUCCUUAAAAUGCAGCACAGAUGAUGGCUGAGUAGGAACAGCUCCAGUCUGCAGCUCCCAGCGAGAUCAACGCAGAAGGCAGGUGAUUUCUGCAUUUCCAACUGAGGGUGUAACACUGUGACUGAUGAAAAGAGAGUUUUCUAUCGGUGACUCACAGACUUCCCUUUCACUGGAAUCCAGCUUAUUAGCUGCAUGGUUAUCUUUGGAGCCAGGAAAAUGUCCUGCACAUAACACUGCCAUCAAGCAGAGGAGACAUGUUUCUCGGCCUCCCCUCUCUGGGACUUAAUAGCUUCUGAAGGCUAGCCUUUACUGACUCAUGAAGCUGUGUCCGCCUGGGGUCAGUGGUGGAGACACUGCGUUAACCCCAGCAAGCGAGCCAUCACCAGAGCUUUGCACAGGGAGACACCACAUAGAAAGGCAGGUGAGGCAACACACACACCAUCCCCAGACCGCCAUGGGUCCCCAGAGACAGGAAAAAUACGUGUUUUCUUAAAGAAUUAGAAAAGAAAACCUCUUGCUUUUUUCUGUGUGGCUCAUUGGUAGGAGAUAUCAAAUUCUAACCCUUGUUUUCUCUUUUACCUCUCUGUCUGCUAAAAAGCACUCCUUAGAUCCAGUAUCUAGGAUGGUGAGCCUCCUGGAUGCAGUGCUGCAGUGGCCACUGCUGGGUCAAAAACAAACACUGGGAAAGGAGGAAAAUGAUGUUUUUCUCUCUUUCAAUAAAGCAUUUGAAAUCUCUA